AUUGAACGCUGGCGGAAUGCUUUACACAUGCAAGUCGAACGGCAGCACGGACUUCGGUCUGGUGGCGAGUGGCGAACGGGUGAGUAACAUAUCGGAACGUAUCCAAUAAUGGGGGAUAACGAGUCGAAAGAUUCGCUAAUACCGCAUACGCCAUACGGGGGAAAGCUGGGGACCUUCGGGCCUGGCGUUAACGGAGCGGCCGAUAUCUGAUUAGCUAGUUGGUGAGGUAAAGGAUCACCAAGGCGACGAUCAGUAGCUGGUCUGAGAGGACGACCAGCCACACUGGAACUGAGACACGGUCCAGACUCCUACGGGAGGCAGCAGUGGGGAAUUUUGGACAAUGGGCGCAAGCCUGAUCCAGCCAUUCCGCGUGAGUGAAGAAGGCCUUCGGGUUGUAAAGCUCUUUCGCAAGGGAAGAAAACUUAGCCACUAACAUUGGUUGAGGUUGACGGUACCUUGAUAAGAAGCACCGGCUAACUACGUGCCAGCAGCCGCCGUAA
rnacentral:rRNA from 1 species